AUGCAUAAAUGCAUGAGCUAAAUCUUUUAAAUGAUGUUAAGGACCUCGAUCAAAAUAUUUAAACAAACAAGGUUUCAGUCUAACAAUUAGGUUGAUUAAGGACCGGAACCAAAAUGACCUUAUUUAUUAAAACGAAGUCCAAACGGACGAAUUACACCUUACAAAACCCCAGAAAGAACCAUCACAUAUAAAAAAGACGUCACUUAUGCAAAUAAAGCAUGAGUAAUGGUUUUUUACUGUUGCAAUUACAAAAUAGUACCUAAAUGAAAAAUCAUAAACGGUUUUUAACUCAAAAGGUAAAGUCCUCCAC
rnacentral:lncRNA from 1 species